UGCUUGCUAAUUGAGGGUUCUUGAAAGGCUCUCUGGCUAUAGAAGGCUUAGGCUGCAUUGCCUGAAGUUGCAUUAAGCAGAGCCUCAUCAGCAUUCAGAACCACUACCAUAGCGUAAAGCCUGGAAGAAGUGGGAAAAAUUACCUACUGAAAUAUAAGAAGAGAAGAUGAAAAGAGGCCAGCAAGAAGAAAGAAAAGCUCCUCAUUUCUGUUCUGAAGCUUCUUUUGCUAAUGGAUCUCCCUCCCAAGCAAUGUUGCGGAUGGCAGCAAGUUAUAAAUGCGAUGAACCCCCCUGCUAUCUAUGAUGGAGAGGACACAGAAACUGAUUUAUCAUAUUGAUUUAUGAUUUUGUACUGUGCAAAAUUCAGGUGCAGCCAUAAAAUUUUGCUGGUUUCAGAAGUCUCUAGAAAGAAAAAAAGGAAGGAAGAAUAAAGAUAAUCAAAGGAAGAAAGAAUACGAAGUACCAAAACCAUAUUUUUUCCCCUUCUCAAAUGUAAAAAUAUAAAGGAAAUUUGCAUGUACACAGAUACUAUGAUGGAAUAUUUAAUUGUUAUUUGCAGUUUGUGUAACUCUUGUUCAUCAGACUAAUUACCCAAUACAUUUGUAUCCUCCUGUUUGUGCCAUUUAUUGUUUACUCCCUGCGUAAUUCUGUGUGGUUUAUGUAUUAAUUUCUGCCAUAGCUUAGGUCUUAUGCAGCUUCAUGAAUUAUUUUCAAGGCUAUCCAAAGAACUCAGAAAUACUGUAAGGAUAACCUAUGAUUUUUCCAUGAGGCCUUUCCCCAUGAUGAGCCUUUAAAGGGCUUCAAGAUCAGGAGAACAGAACUGCUGUUUUGGGAGAAAUGUGGGGCAAUGGUCAAAGCACACAUGAUGUUGUUACAAGUUGAGUGGAUUCCGUGGAGAAGUUGGGUGAUGGUGUGAAGGCUUGCAGCUGCAGUAGGGAGAGACUGCGUAAAUGCAGGAAGAAUGUGGUUUGUUAAGGAAAAUGGGAGAAAGGAUAAUAAAAAUAUUCAUAUAAAACAAGGAAAGAAGUUAGGAGUUCUUCAGGCUUUUUCUGCUCUAGCCUCUCCCCUGUCCUUUCAUCCAAAUCACUGCUUUGGUAUCCUUGGCAUAAGGACAUUUCUGUGUUCUUGAAGGCAAAGUUCCCUUGCUCCUACCCACACCUUAAUUUCAUCAAAGCCUGACUUUACUUAGAUGGCAAAGAACAACCUCAUUGAUCCAGAAAAACUGCUUCUCAUAUCUUUAAGGAAAGCAUAUUAGGAUUCUCUGAUUUCUCAUUCUUUCAGCAGGUGUAGAAAAUGACAGGGAUCCAGAGGUCAGGUCCUCACUAGGGAAACUGAUUGCCUGCAGUCUUCUUAAAAUCCAAAGGAGGUACACACAGUAUUGCAGGAAGAAAAAUUAAAAGAUCUUUCCCUUACUUCCCUAAUAUCUUUGAAAAGUCAUCUCUGCUCUAGCAGCAGCAAUAAAGACUUAUUCAAAGGAAAAGAUCAAGCCUAAUGCUGGAGCUUAGUAAUUAUUUGUUGUGAUUUUCUGCUUUCAUGUAAAUCAGAUAAAGAGAUAGAGUUAAUUAUUCAACCUCUUUUCAAAUCAUUGAUACCUCUACUAGAGCUGACUACUAUAAUUCUGAAUCCUCCAAUUAACUGAUUAACUGGUUAACUGGUUAACUGAUGUUAUUCCUUCCUGAGUAUACCACCCAGUAAUAUAGACAGGAAAAGGAAAUGGAUGUUACAGUCCAAUCCUCUAUGAUGAAACCAUAUUUUAAUGUGAAAGUUGAGCCUACAAAAGGACAUUCUUUACAGACCAAGAAAAUAUGACUUUCUAUAUGAAUUUUCUAUUCUGAUUCUUAUUUUUUUACACUUUUAUACAAUAAUGUACUUCACUAUCUUCCAGGAAAGUACUAAACAACAGGACUAACAUCUGUUGCUUGGUAAAACUACUAUGCCUACUGCUGAGUUUGUUGUUUUGGUUUUUUUCUCUACCAUUAUUAUACCAUAGAUAUGAUUCACUGUCUCUCUGAAAGCAAUUUUUUCCUUUUUUAUUAUUUUCUCUGUAUGAAGUAGGAACAUGAUACACCUCAACUGUCAUUUCUAAACAAAAAAAAAAAAAAAAAAGAAAAUCACAUACCUGUGUGCCAGCUGCUGAUGCCUGAUCAUGCACCGUUUCAGCAUUCAACAUAAAAUAGGGUCUAUUUUCUGUUCAUCUGAACUUAAUACAUGCUGUGACUGAGUCAGCAGCACCUUCCUUAUAAAGCAGUGUGGGAACCAGUUUUUGAAUGUUGCAAAACAUUCUAACAAUUUUAAUAAUUUUUACAAUAAAAAACAAGGUCUCUUGUUUUUUACAUUUUUUUUUCACAUUUUCCAUUCCAUUCCAGACUUGCCUUAGUAAGUUCCUGAUGACCUCUUUGAAGUACAGGUAUAAUCUGAGAAGGUGCUCUUGGCUUUGAAGGUACAAGCACACUCCACUGUGUACAUAUUCACAUGACUUCAAAUGCAGUACCUGAUCACAAAAGGCAAGUGGCAAUGCAGACUGUGCCUGAAGUGUCUGAGGAGUGGGCUGAACUCUCACAAUAACUCAAGUGAUACUUGAAAUUUAGAUCACUGCUGUGAGAUAAGAUGCGUGGUCAGGUUACAAAAACAAAAGGGACAAUAGUAUUGAAGAAAUAAUAAGACUAUAAGUUACAAGGCAUUAUAAAACUAAAAGGUUUGAAAACUUAAUUCUGCUUUGAUUGAGUUGUCUGUUGAGACAUCCAAGGCCUGUUGAACUGAAUCACAGCCAAGAUAUGCUUGUAUUGAUGGUGUGUUCAAUAAAUGCUAUUCUUUCUCA